AUAGAGAUAAACUGUAAACAGCAAUAAUGUUCAGCAGAGUAAGAUUUACAAAUAAGUCAACAUAACCGAAAUGGUCAGUUGACCCCUUUAGGAGUUAUUGCCCUUUAUAGUCAAUUUUUAACCAUUUUUCGUAAAUCUUAGUUAUCUUUUACAAAAAUCUUCUCCUCUGAAACUACUGGGCCAAAUUAAUUCAAACUUGGCCACAAUCAUCUUUGGGGUAUCUAGUUUAAAAAAUGUGUGGCGUGACCUUGCCAUCCAACCAAGAUGGCCGCCACGAAUAAAAAUAGAACAUAGGGUAAAAUGCAGUUUUUGGCUUAUAACUCAAAAAGCAAAGCAUUUAGAGCAAAUCUGACUGGGUAAAAUUGUUUAUCAGGUCAAGAUCUAUCAGCCCUGAAAUUUUCAGAUGAAUCGGACAACC
rnacentral:lncRNA from 1 species